GGUUUUUUGAAGUUAACUAAAAAAUCAGGCCUGCCCACUGAUGAAGGGCUGCAGUAUUUUGACUGUACAAAGGUAGCAUAAUCAUUAGUCUCUUGAUUGGGGACUGGUAUGAAGGGUUAAACGAAAAUUGUCUGUCUCAAAAAUAAUAAUGAAUUUUAUUUUUAAGGAAAAGAGCUUAAAUUGGUCAAUGGGACGAGAAGACCCUGUUAAAUUUGAUAUGGGUUUAUAUUUUUGUUUGAAUGGAAAAAAUAUAGAUAUAUUAAUUUUACUGGGGCGGUAUGUAAAUAACUUUAUUAUUUUUUAAUAUGGUAAGUAGCGGAACUUUGAUCCGAAUGGAUUGAUACUAGACAAAAUUACUGCAGGGAUAACAGCGUAAUAUUUUUUGAGAGUUCUUAUUGACAAAAGUGUUUGCGACCUCGAUGUUGGAUUAAGAAGUCUUAUAGGUGCAGUAGCUUUUGAAGAGGGUCUGUUCGACCUUUAAAUUCUU
rnacentral:rRNA from 1 species